GACGAACGCUGGCGGCGUGCCUAAUACAUGCAAGUCGAACGCUGAAGGAGGAGCUUGCUUCUCUGGAUGAGUUGCGCACGGGUGAGUAACGCGUAGGUAACCUGCCUGGUAGCGGGGGAUAACUAUUGGAAACGAUAGCUAAUACCGCAUAAGAGUAGAUGUUGCAUGACAUUUGCUUAAAAGGUGCAAUUGCAUCACUACCAGAUGGACCUGCGUUGUAUUAGCUAGUUGGUGGGGUAACGGCUCACCAAGGCGACGAUACAUAGCCGACCUGAGAGGGUGAUCGGCCACACUGGGACUGAGACACGGCCCAGACUCCUACGGGAGGCAGCAGUAGGGAAUCUUCGGCAAUGGACGGAAGUCUGACCGAGCAACGCCGCGUGAGUGAAGAAGGUUUUCGGAUCGUAAAGCCCUGUUGUAAGAGAAGAACGAGUGUGAGAGUGGAAAGUUCACACUGUGACGGUAUCUUACCAGAAAGGGACGGCUAACUACGU
rnacentral:rRNA from 1 species